UAAGGAAUAUUGGACAAUGGAGGCAACUCUGAUCCGGCCAUGCCGCGUGAAGGAAUAAGGCCCUAUGGGUUGUAAACUUCUUUUAGACGGGACAAAACCCCUUUACGUGUAAAGGGUUGAUGGUACUGUCAGAAUAAGCAUCGGCUAACUUCGUGCCAGCAGCCGCGGUAAUACGAAGGAUGCAAGCGUUAUCCGGAAUUAUUGGGUUUAAAGGGUGCGUAGGCGGACUAAUAAGUCAGUGGUGAAAGCCUGCAGCUUAACUGCAGAAUUGCCAUUGAUACUGUUAGUCUUGAGUACAGUUGAGGUAGGCGGAAUGUGUCAUGUAGCGGUGAAAUGCUUAGAUAUGACACAGAACACCGAUUGCGAAGGCAGCUUGCUAAGCUGUAACUGACGCUGAGGCACGAAAGCGUGGGGAGCAAACA
rnacentral:rRNA from 1 species